rnacentral:rRNA from 1 species
AUUGAACGCUGGCGGCAGGCCUAACACAUGUAAGUCGAGCGGAGCGGCGGACGGGUGAGUAAUAUAUGGGGAACUGCCCGAUAGAGGGGGAUAACUACUGGAAACGGUGGCUAAUACCGCAUACUAUCAGAAGAGCCUAGGUGGGAUUAGCUAGUGGGUGGGGUAAAGGCCUACCAAGGCGACGAUCCUUAACUGGUCUUAGAGGAUGAUCAGUCACACUGGAACUGAGACACGGUCCAGACUCCUACGGGAGGCAGCAGUGGGGAAUAUUGGACAAUGGGCGAAAGCCUGAUCCAGCCAUGCCGCGUGUGUGAAGAAGGUCUUCGGAUUGUAAAGUACUUUAAGUUGGGAGGCGUUACCAACAGAAUAAGCACCGGCUAACUUCGUGCCAGCAGCCGCGGUAAUAC